GUGAAUUCGAGGACCGUAGCGAGACGCACUAAAGCGAAGGCAUUUGCCAAGAGUGUUUUCAUCUAUCAAGAACGAAAGUCAGAGGUUCGAAGGCGAUUAGAUACCGCCCUAGUUCUGACCGUAAAUGAUGCCAACUACCAAUUCGCUUGUGGAUUCGAGUUCAUAAGCGAGCGGGUUUCCGGAAACGAAAGUCUUUCGGUUCCGGGGGAAGUAUGGUUGCAAAGCUGAAACUUAAAGGAAUUGACGGAAGGGCACCACCAGGAGUGGAGCUUGCGGCUUAAUUUGACUCAACACGGGAAACCUCACCCGGCCAGCACAUCGUGAGGAUUGACAGACCGAUAGCUCUUUCAUGAUUCGGUGGAUGGUGGUGCAUGGCCGUUCUUAGUUCGUGCUAACGAAGUGUCUGCUUUAUUGCGAUAACGAGCGAGACGCCGACUGCUAACUAGUGCGUCGAUUGAUUCGUUUGUCGACGAUCAUUUCUUAGCGGGAUUCGUGGUUCUUAGCCUCAAGAAAUGGCGCAAUAACAGGUCUGUGAUGCCCUUAGAUGUUCGGGGCCGCACGCGUGCUACAAUGGUGGUAUCAGCGUGAUUGUCCUACUCCGAGAGGAGAUGGCAAACAGUUGAGAUAUUAUUAUGGCUGGAAUUGAGUGUUGAAAUUUUCACUCAUGAACGAGGAAUUCCAAGUAAAUGCGAGUCAUCAACUCGCAUUGAUUACGUCCCUGCCCUUUGUACACACCGCCCGUCGCUCCCCGGG
rnacentral:rRNA from 1 species